rnacentral:rRNA from 1 species
UUUGAUCCUGGCUCAGAACGAACGCUGGCGGCGUGCUUAACACAUGCAAGUCGAACGCGAAAGGUUUCUUCGGGGACCGAGUAGAGUGGCGCACGGGUGAGUAACGCGUAGGUAAUCUCCCCUCGGAUCUGGAAUAACAUCGGGAAACCGGUGCUAAUACCGGAUACGCUUGGCGGCCAAGUGGUUGCCAAGGAAAGGUGGCGCCUGGAAACGGGGCUACUGUUCGAGGAUGAGCCUGCGUACCAUUAGCUAGUUGGCGGGGUAAAGGCCCACCAAGGCGACGAUGGUUAGCGGGUCUGAGAGGAUGAUCCGCCACACUGGCACUGAAAUACGGGCCAGACUCCUACGGGAGGCAGCAGUGAGGAAUAUUGCGCAAUGGGGGAAACCCUGACGCAGCGACGCCGCGUGGGUGAGGAAGGCCUUCGGGUCGUAAAGCCCUGUUGUAGGGGAAGAACGGGAUCAUUUCGAAUAGGGAUGAUUUUUGACGGUACCCUGCGAGGAAGCACCGGCUAACUCCGUGCCAGCAGCCGCGGUAAUACGGAGGGUGCGAGCGUUGUUCGGAAUCACUGGGCGUAAAGGGCGCGCAGGCGGUUGUAUAAGUCAGGUGUGAAAGUCCCGGGCUUAACCUGGGGAGUGCACAUGAUACUGUACGACUUGAGUACUGGAGGGGGAGGUGGAAUUCCCGGUGUAGAGGUGAAAUUCGUAGAUAUCGGGAGGAAUACCGGUGGCGAAAGCGACCUCCUGGCCAGAUACUGACGCUGAGGCGCGAAAGCGUGGGGAGCAAACAGGAUUAGAUACCCUGGUAGUCCACGCUGUAAACGAUGAGAACUAGGUGUUGGUGGAGUUGAUCCAUCAGUGCCGCAGCUAACGCAUUAAGUUCUCCGCCUGGGGAGUACGGCCGCAAGGUUAAAACUCAAAGGAAUUGACGGGGGCCCGCACAAGCGGUGGAGUAUGUGGUUUAAUUCGAUGCAACGCGAAGAACCUUACCUGGUCUUGACAUCCCGAGAAUUGGCCGGAAACGGUUGAGUGCCUCUUUACGGAGGAGCUUGGAGACAGGUGCUGCAUGGCUGUCGUCAGCUCGUGUCGUGAGAUGUUGGGUUAAGUCCCGCAACGAGCGCAACCCUUGCCUUUAGUUGCCAUCAGUUCGGCUGGGCACUCUAGAGGGACUGCCGGUGUCAAACCGGAGGAAGGCGGGGAUGACGUCAAGUCCUCAUGGCCCUUAUGACCAGGGCUACACACGUACUACAAUGGCCGGUACAAAGGGGAGCAAGCCUGCGAAGGCAAGCGAAUCCCGAAAAGCUGGUCUCAGUCCGGAUUGGAGUCUGCAACUCGACUCCAUGAAGUUGGAAUCGCUAGUAAUCGUGGAUCAGCAUGCCACGGUGAAUACGUUCCCGGGCCUUGUACACACCGCCCGUCACACCACGAGAGUCGGUUGUACCAGAAGUGGUUGAGCUAACCUUCGGGGAGCAGGUCACCAAGGUAUGGCUGGUAAUUGGGGUGAAGUCGUAACAAGGUAG